GGAGGGAACAGCUCAGUGGAAGAGUGCCUGCUUAGUAUGCAUGAGGUCCCGGGUUCAAUCCUCAGUACCUCCA
rfam:Camelus ferus unplaced genomic scaffold scaffold726, whole genome shotgun sequence.